ACUAGCAUUUAUUUGUGGUUUAACCUGCCCAAUGUACUAUAUUUCAAAUGAAUGGCCGCGGUACUUUGACCGUGCUAAGGUAGCGUAAUCAGUUGGCUUUUAAAUGGAGUCAGGAAUGAAUGGGAGAACCGGGUUUAGCUGUCUCUCAACUAAUAUGUUGAAUUUACUGUUCAAGUGAAAAAGCUUGUUAAUUAAAAAGGGACGAGAAGACCCUUAGAAUUUUAUUUAAUUAGAAGGGUUAGAGUGAUUACUUCUUAUAAUUUUGUUGGGGCGACAGAGAAAUAAUUUUAAACUUUCUUUCUAAAAAAUUAGCCGAUUAUAUUAAGUGAGAAUAAAUUACCUGAGGGAUAACAGCAUAAUUCGUUAAAAGAGUUUGUGACCUCGAUGUUGGACUAGGAAACUAGUAGAUUAGCCAUUUACUGUGUUGGUUCUGUUCGAACUGUAAUUCCUA
rnacentral:rRNA from 1 species